rnacentral:rRNA from 1 species
UACGUAGGGUGCUAGCGUUGUCCGGAUUUAUUGGGCGUAAAGGGCUCGUAGGCGGCGUGUCGCGUCGGGAGUGAAAGCCCGCUGCUUAACGGCGGGUUGGCUUCCGGUACGGGCAUCGCUGGGGUGCGGCAGGGGAGACUGGAAUUCCUGGUGUAGCGGUGGAAUGCGCAGAUAUCAGGAAGAACACCCGUGGCUAAGGCGGCUCUCUAGUACGGUACUGACGCUGAGACGCGAAAGCGUGGGGAGCGAACAGG